rnacentral:rRNA from 1 species
AUUGAACGCUGGCGGCAUGCUUUACACAUGCAAGUCGAACGGUAACAGGCCGCAAGGUGCUGACGAGUGGCGAACGGGUGAGUAAUGCAUCGGAACGUGCCCAGUCGUGGGGGAUAACUACUCGAAAGAGUAGCUAAUACCGCAUACGAUCUAUGGAUGAAAGCGGGGGACCGUAAGGCCUCGCGCGAUUGGAGCGGCCGAUGUCAGAUUAGGUAGUUGGUGGGGUAAAGGCUCACCAAGCCAAAGAUCUGUAGCUGGUCUGAGAGGACGACGAGCCACACUGGGAGUGAGACACGGCCCAGACUCCUAAGGGAGGCAGCAGUGGGGAAUGUUGGACAGUGGGGGCAAGCCUGGUCCAGCAAUGCCGAGUGCAAGAAGGAGGCGUUCGGGUUGUAAACUGCUUUUGUACGGAACGAAACGGCUCUGGUUAAUACCCGGGGUUAAUGACGGUACCGGAAGAAUAAGCACCGGCUAACUACGUG